GCUCCGAGGGCCGAGGCGGAAGCAUGAGGGAGCUCAGUUUUUAGCCAGCGCUCAGGUAAGGAGGGUCAUUCAGGCAUAUACUACAGCGACACUUUCCCCGCAACGUCACAGAGGGAAAAUGCAGCCUACACAGCCCAUGCAGCCUGCGCACCCUGAACACACCGUGGAGACAGCAGCACGCCUUGACCAGCCCUCUGGGACAACACUGCCGGAGAUGGAUGGCUCUGGGCCGCCGGUGCGGUACACGUGGCGAGGAAGGCUACACGUGGGGACCGUCGACGUGGGCGUGACUACUCUCUCUUCUGAACACAUGGACUGCAUUCCUGCACUUGGUGGAAUCCUAAAAAUGACACGAAUAGCAAAAUAUGAAGACCUUUGGACUAAAAUACUUCAAAGCAAGCCAUGUUCUCUAUCACAGAGAAAUGCUUCCUCAAUCAGGGGAAAGACUGUAGCAGUACACAGACUCCAAGCAAACUCCACAUUAUUCCAUCAGUUGGUGGAAGAGCUCAUUCAGACU